GUCUUAUAAUUUGGAAUGGAG
rnacentral:miRNA from 1 species